AUAAAAAUACAGCUGUAGGCUAUUUGUAUUUUAUUUGUUUUUUAUUGGUAAAAUACAGAACACUGUUAGUCUAACACACGAGACAUAUAUUGGCUGAUUAGAAAUUAGAAAGAAGUAUUUUGAAAAGUAAACAAAACAAAGACUUGACAAUAUUAGCCUCGAAAAGUAUUACAAGCACGGCAACAUUGUAAAAAAAAGAGCUGCAGUGGCUUUUCCCGCGUAAAAAAUCUCGUCUGCACUGAAAUGUUCAGAUCGUAACUCUGAAUGACAUGCGUUCUCAUAAUGUGCUUCUGCUGAGUGCUCUCAAAUUUUUAUUCGUUUUCUAUCUUGCAAUUGCAGAUAAAAAAAUGGCAAAGCAAAAGUAAAUUCCCCAGUCAUUCUUAUUAAGUGGACUGAUGAGAACCUUAUCAUCACUACGAUGUGCCAAGCUUCUUCAAGCCCACAUCUAGUCUAGAUAACAUGGAUUUGAUCGACUACAUCUCUUUGUUGGAUUCUUGGAUUCAUAGUGAAAAGGUCAUCGUAUUCAGAUGGACCAGUUAGGAUGAUAAUAAAACCCCUUAUCAUUUCACCGAUUACUCAAUUCCAGAGAAAUGUGAUGGAAAGAAAAUGAUAAUGAAGACUGGCUUCAUUCUCUUUCACUGUGAUAUUUCCAAAAUUGCUUGACGCUUUGUAUCAGCCAGAAGAAUUGGCCAACAUGUCUCUCUCCGGCAAUGCCUGCCCGAGUAUGCCAGGCUCUAAGUCAAAGCCAGAAAUUCCCAAGGAGGCCUUGAAUGAAAUUAUAGGUUUUAGGCAACAUAUUGGGAUCAAGCAUACAAAGGAUCGAUUCUGACAGAGCAGCAAGUUAAAGAAGCUGUAAGUGCCAAACUCAUUGCGGUCCAAACAAGAGAGAAAAAGCAGAAAAACAAGAUGCUAGCCAACGAGGCAUCGUCACCACUUACUGCAGGAGUUCCUUCGAAAGUCAAAAGUUUGUUAUUUGUAUUAUUGUUCUAUUGUCUACUCUUAGUUGUGUGGAGUGAAAUUUUUGUCUGUUCGUUAGAGUGCGUGAUUAUGCCCAACAUUAUGUGUCGUGUUUUGAAAUACAAAGUCGAA